rnacentral:rRNA from 1 species
GGGAGGAAAGUAGGGGAUCGAAAGACCUUAUGCUUUUGGAGCGGCCGAUGUCUGAUUAGCUAGUUGGUAAGGUAAUGGCUUACCAAGGCAACGAUCAGUAGUUGGUCUGAGAGGACGGCCAGCCACACUGGGACUGAGACACGGCCCAGACUCCUACGGGAGGCAGCAGUGGGGAAUUUUGGACAAUGGGCGCAAGCCUGAUCCAGCAAUGCCGCGUGAGUGAAGAAGGCCUUCGGGUUGUAAAGCUCUUUCAGUUGAGAAGAAAAAGUCGUGACUAAUAAUCAUGAUUCAUGACGG